rnacentral:rRNA from 1 species
AGAGUUUGAUCCUGGCUCAGGAUGAACGCUAGCUACAGGCUUAACACAUGCAAGUCGAGGGGAAACGACAUCGAAAGCUUGCUUUUGAUGGGCGUCGACCGGCGCACGGGUGAGUAACGCGUAUCCAACCUGCCCACCACUUGGGGAUAACCUUGCGAAAGUAAGACUAAUACCCAAUGAUAUCUCUAGAAGACGUCUGAAAGAGAUUAAAGAUUUAUCGGUGAUGGAUGGGGAUGCGUCUGAUUAGCUUGUUGGCGGGGUAACGGCCCGACCAAGGCUACGAUCAGUAGGGGUUCUGAGGAGGAAGGUCCCCCACGACUUGGAACCUGAGACACGGUCCAAACUCCGUACGGGAGGCCA